ensembl:lncRNA
GGAGGAGGGGGUGGAGUCUGUCCAGCUGCCCUUCAAAACCACACAAAACCUGCCUGGAGAUGCUAAAGUGGAGUGGUGGGAGGUGAGUUCAUACCACAAGCUUCUCGUGUAUGAGAACGGCUCUGACCAGCCUGAAGAACAGCACCAGGAUUACAGAGACCGAACGGCAAUAAAUGAAGACCUGCUGAAAACUGGAGACCUCAGUCUGACCCUGAAACAGCCCACAGAGAGAGACAGUGGAGAAUACAGAUGUGGCGUCUACAGGAAGAACAUCUGGAUCAGAGGGAAAACUGUGCAGCUUAAAGUCAAAGGGAGAGUUCAGGUCCAGGAUCAAACAGGGGACAUCAGGAACAGAAGCAGCUCCAUUGAUCCGACUCCUCUGAUGGCUGAUCAAUCAGUUUGAUCUGUGUGUUCUUUGAUUAUUGAUCAGUGAUGUCAGAGUGGAGUCAGUGUGUUGUUGU